AUUUACUAGAUUUUAUUUUGUUGAACCUAAAAUUAAUACUUGGGUUGAAUCAAUUAUAUGAGUUUGGAAACAAGAUUGAGAUUUUAUAAUUAUGAGCUACAUUGUUCAUUUGCCAGCUUUGUGCUCAAUUUGGGCCGGCCUCAACCAAAUCGAUGUAACAAGAAAGAUCUUUGUCAAAUUCUGAUAUUAUGCAUCCGGAUUUGGCUCAGGUAUGGGCCUAUACAUAUAAUAUGAAUACUGGAUGGAUUAUAUAGUGGCAAAGAACCAAGUUUUAUGCUAUGAGUGUUGGCCUAGACAACAUGCACAUGCAAAUUCACAAAUAAAGGUCUAGCUUUAAAAAGAAUUGUGCAU
rnacentral:lncRNA from 1 species